GACGAACGCUGGCGGCGUGCUUAACACAUGCAAGUCGAACGAAGAGCGAUGGAAGCUUGCUUCUAUCAAUCUUAGUGGCGAACGGGUGAGUAACGCGUAAUCAACCUGCCCUUCAGAGGGGGACAACAGUUGGAAACGACUGCUAAUACCGCAUACGAUCUAAUCUCGGCAUCGAGGAUAGAUGAAAGGUGGCCUCUACAUGUAAGCUAUCACUGAAGGAGGGGAUUGCGUCUGAUUAGCUAGUUGGAGGGGUAACGGCCCACCAAGGCGAUGAUCAGUAGCCGGUCUGAGAGGAUGAACGGCCACAUUGGGACUGAGACACGGCCCAGACUCCUACGGGAGGCAGCAGUGGGGAAUCUUCCGCAAUGGACGAAAGUCUGACGGAGCAACGCCGCGUGAGUGAUGACGGCCUUCGGGUUGUAAAGCUCUGUUAAUCGGGACGAAAGGCCUUCUUGCGAAUAGUGAGAAGGAUUGACGGUACCGGAAUAGAAAGCCACGGCUAACUACGC
rnacentral:rRNA from 1 species